rnacentral:rRNA from 1 species
GUACACUCCUACGGGAGGCAGCAGUGGGGAAUAUUGCACAAUGGGCGCAAGCCUGAUGCAGCCAUGCCGCGUGUAUGAAGAAGGCCUUCGGGUUGUAAAGUACUUUCAGCGGGGAGGAAGGCAAUACGGUUAAUAACCGUGUUGAUUGACGUUACCCGCAGAAGAAGCACCGGCUAACUCCGUGCCAGCAGCCGCGGUAAUACGGAGGGUGCAAGCGUUAAUCGGAAUUACUGGGCGUAAAGCGCACGCAGGCGGUCUGUCAAGUCGGAUGUGAAAUCCCCGGGCUCAACCUGGGAACUGCAUUCGAAACUGGCAGGCUUGAGUCUUGUAGAGGGGGGUAGAAUUCCAGGUGUAGCGGUGAAAUGCGUAGAGAUCUGGAGGAAUACCGGUGGCGAAGGCGGCCCCCUGGACAAAGACUGACGCUCAGGUGCGAAAGCGUGGGGAGCAAACAGGAUUAGAAACCCCUGUAGUCCC